AUCUCAUCUUUUUAAUAUUGAGGCAUGCCUGACUGAACAUGCAAGGUGUCUGUAGGAUGCCAACCUGUGCUGAGCAGAUGGGAGAGGUGCCAGGACCGAUGGACAUGAUUGGUGCAGGAUGUCAUGAUUACCGUCACUACAGUGUUUCAGAGGACAGAAAGGAAACUGUGUCCCCUUAGAGCAGACAGGGAAUACUAAGCAGUUCCAAUACAUGAUUCAUCUCAUCCUAAGGAAGGUCCUGAAGUAGAUGAUCAGAUGAAUCGCCUUGGCAAAAAGACUACAGCCUCCAUUCCCUGCACAGGUGGAAAGCUUAGCAAAGGCGUAGACAUCUACUCUUCUGUCAUCUAAAUUCAGUCUGGAAAGACUGGGGAGGCUUGACCCUGAGGCAGAGGCUGGCCCAAAGUUUCAGAUCUUGAGAGACCAAACUCCUUAGGAGAUGAGUCUGAACUGAGCAUAGGAAAAAACAGUAAAGAUUUAUGAUUUAGAGAUUAAUAAAUAUAUCAUUAAUGAGCUUUUCAAGACAAAACAAGUGAAAACUAUUUCCACUAGAGGAAGUAGAUACUAAGCAAAUGUUGGCAAAUACAGAAAUUAGGGAUACCCAACUUAGAGAAUUGCUAAAACAUUGAAAUUAAUACAUGUUAUAUAGAGUGUUGUGAAAGAGAUGUAGCCGUACGUUGUCAAGAAAGCGAUUCUGUGCUUCCUUCAAAAUACAAAGUAUCCCAAUUUGAACUGAAUAUAGGAUUUAGAACCUCUGAGCACUUGAAAAGCAUGUUAAAACAUAUCAUUUCUGAAAUGUGCCUUUUCACUUCAAAAAAGAGAAAAUGUCCAGAAGAGUCAUUUACACGCAUUUUAGAAUUCCAGCUGAAUGAUGCCUUCCCCUUUCCAGAAACUCACAGGGACAGCAAAGGCGUAUCCCUAUCAAUUGCAGUGACCUUUCUUGAUUUUGGCCACCUUACAAGAUUUCUAGCAUGUGACUGCAUGAAACAUAGUAAGUAGAAGUGAAAAGCAUACUCAAUACUUAAUAAUAUUAGGACACCCAAUACUUCAUCAGAAAAAAAAUAUUCAGCUCUCACAAGAAGACUCAAGCCAUAAUAGAAAAAGCAGCAGGAAAAAAAAAAAAAAAAAAAAAAAAAAAAAGUAAUUAAAGCUCUGAAAUAGUUUCUUUUCUGACAAUGUUUUCAGUUUUCUGUGACUCUGAUUUUCUGUCUUUAUUCUCUUCUUCAAAUUACUUUUUAUUGCAGUAAGCAUUAAAUAAUAAGGAAUUGAAAUUUGCCAAUAAAGGGAAUGAACAGAGCAAUGGUAAAAAUAGCGAAGUAAUAGGAAUAUACAAAAGCACAUAAAAUAUCAUAACAUUGUUUUGCAGAAUGCUGUGGUGUUUUUCUCCUGUUUAUAACACCUUUGUGUUUUGCUUGAAAUGUUCUUGUGACCACUAGUUCACUCCUUUCCAAAUGACUGGACAGGUUUUCAAUUGCUGCUAAUCAACAUAAUUUGGUGAUGUUAAUGCAUUUUUUUACUGCUCCAAGAGCUAUUUUUAGAAAAUAAAUAUUACACACAGAUCAGAAAACCAAACUGCUAACUCUGUACUGAAGUAGCAACAUCUGUGUUGCCACCUACCCAGCAGACACAGGUUUUUAAAUUUGAGAUUUCUCUACAAAUUGGUAUGCUGCGAUUCUUAUCCAGGCAAUAAAACCAAGCAAAUAAAUUCUGCAAAACAAGACUCCUGAAGCACUCUAAGGCAAUUUUUUUUUUGAAUGUACCUCUCAUUGACUAAUCAAGAGAUAGUUGGAACAGUGCAAACUAUUACAUGGAGGUAAAUGACUUAUAAAUCAAGAUAACACUUUGGGUAUUCAAGUCUUGCCUGAAA